rnacentral:rRNA from 1 species
CCUACGGGUGGCAGCAGUGGGGAAUAUUGCACAAUGGGCGCAAGCCUGAUGCAGCCAUGCCGCGUGUGUGAAGAAGGCCUUCGGGUUGUAAAGCACUUUCAGCGGGGAGGAAGGCGUUAAGGUUAAUAACCUUGGCGAUUGACGUUACCCGCAGAAGAAGCACCGGCUAACUCCGUGCCAGCAGCCGCGGUAAUACGGAGGGUACAAGCGUUAAUCGGAAUUACUGGGCGUAAAGCGCACGCAGGCGGUCUGUCAAGUCGGAUGUGAAAUCCCCGGGCUCAACCUGGGAACUGCAUUCGAAACUGGCAGGCUAGAGUCUUGUAGAGGGGGGUAGAAUUCCAGGUGUAGCGGUGAAAUGCGUAGAGAUCUGGAGGAAUACCGGUGGCGAAGGCGGCCCCCUGGACAAAGACUGACGCUCAGGUGCGAAAGCGUGGGGAGCAAACAGGAUUAGAUACCCCGGUAGUC